UACGGGGGGGGCAAGCGUUGUUCGGAAUUACUGGGCGUAAAGGGCUCGUAGGCGGCCAACUAAGUCAGACGUGAAAUCCCCAGGCUUAACCUGGGAACUGCGUCUGAUACUGGAUGGCUUGAAUUCGGGAGAGGGAUGCAGAAUUCCAGGUGUAGCGGUGAAAUGCGUAGAUAUCUGGAGGAAUACCGGUGGCGGAGGCGGCAUCCUGGACCGACAUUGACGCUGAGGAGCGAAAGCUAGGGGAGCAAACAGG
rnacentral:rRNA from 1 species